CUGGUAAUGUGAUGUUGUCUCUGUCUUGGCUUGAAGUAUCUCACUCAAUGUAUUCAAUCUGAAAAGGGAGAGCUUGUGCGUGCUUUAGGAGGAGCUGUGGCAUCCACAUCUCUUCUUGGAGUUCCUCUUGGACAUAACUCCUCGUUUCUUCAAGGGCCGACCUUUGCACCUCCAAGGAUUAGAGAGGCUAUCUGGUGUGGGAGCACCAAUCAACAACUGAAGAAGUGUAUAGAUGUUGCAGUUGAUCACUCGUCGUCGGAGUGUGUCCAAUGCAGCUCCUGCAUUAUCAGCAUCUAGUGUUCCAGGCGUGAGUGCUCCAUUGAUUGGGGAGCCUACACCCCUUACGGAGGCUACUCCUACGACGUCCCAGGUGCCCGUAUCAUCAAUGUCAUCAGUGUCAGUUGAGCCCCUCAGUGCACGGUGAUCGGAUGAUAUUUAUAUAUAUUUUUACUUCGAAUUCACUCGUCUUUUCUUAGUUAGUUCCUUAUAUUUUUGAGCUAUUUACGUUAUUUUUGUGUUUAUAGGAUUUGUUAUGCAAAGAAAAUAAAAAUAGAACAAGUGAAAU